rnacentral:rRNA from 1 species
AUGGCGCUAUUCCGGGCCUCCACGACUAUCACUAUCGAAGAUGGAAAGCGUGCCAGUUUCUGGAAGGAUAAAUGGAUCGGUGAUUCUCCGCUAUGCACUCGUGCCCCUGAGCUCUACAAGAUUGCUACAAGAAAGAACAGGACGGUUUGUGAAGAUCUGGAGGGGGAUCGCUGGAUUACUGCCAUUGACCGGUUGACCACUGCCGUCCAGCUCUGCGAAUUCCUCGACAUUUGGCAGCUUCUACAGACCACCGGCAUUGACCCCUCCCGUCCAGACUCCAUCCGCUGGAACUGGAUGGGUUCAGGGGAAUACUCCAACAAGUCUGCCUACCAUAUGCAGUUCUCUGGUCGCUUGGUGCCUUUCCGCUCUGCUAAGGUUUGGAAAGCACAGGCACCCCCAAAUGCAAGCUCUUCGCCUGGCUUGUCCUGCAUGGAAGGAUCCUCACGGCGAAAAACCUGGCAAUCCGUGGAUGGCCACACAAUCCUAUAUGCCGCCUUUGCAUGGCAUCCAAUGAGACGGUCACUCAUCUCUGUAGAGAUUGCCCCUUCUCGCAGGCGGUCUGGAGGAGCGUCCACGCAGCGGAGGGAAUGCCUAGCCCGAGCCCACCGGACAAUGGAACCUCCAUCAACACGUGGUGGGAGGGCUUUCUUGCCAGUGUUCCAGCUCAGAACAGGCGAGAGAGUAGUGGAGCCAUGA